rnacentral:rRNA from 1 species
CGCACGGGUGAGUAACGCGUGGAUAAUCUACCCUUAAGAUGGGGAUAACGGCUGGAAACGGUCGCUAAUACCGAAUACGCUCCCGAUUUUAUCGUUGGGGGGAAAGAUGGCCUCUGCUUGCAAGCUAUCGCUUAAGGAUGAGUCCGCGUCCCAUUAGCUAGUUGGCGGGGUAACGGCCCACCAAGGCAACGACGGGUAGCCGGUCUGAGAGGUUGAACGGCCACAUUGGGACUGAGACACGGCCCAG